rnacentral:rRNA from 2 species
AGAAGCUUGCUUCUCUUGAGAGCGGCGGACCCUUGAGUAAUGCCUAGGAAUCUGCCUGGUAGUGGGGGAUAACGUUCGGAAACGGACGCUAAUACCGCAUACGUCCUACGGGAGAAAGCAGGGGACCUUCGGACCUUGCGCUAUCAGAUGAGCCUAGGUCGGAUUAGCUAGUUGGUGAGGUAAUGGCUCACCAAGGCGACGAUCCGUAACUGGUCUGAGAGGAUGAUCAGUCACACUGGAACUGAGACACGGUCCAGACUCCUACGGGAGGCAGCAGUGGGGAAUAUUGGACAAUGGGCGAAAGCCUGAUCCAGCCAUGCCGCGUGUGUGAAGAAGGUCUUCGGAUUGUAAAGCACUUUAAGUUGGGAGGAAGGUAUGGAGACUAAUAC